rnacentral:rRNA from 1 species
GACGAACGCUGGCGGCGUGCCUAAUACAUGCAAGUCGAGCGAAUUAAUAGGAGCUUGCUCCUAUUGGUUAGCGGCGGACGGGUGAGUAACACGUGGGCAACCUGCCUGUAAGACUGGGAUAACAUCGGGAAACCGAUGCUAAUACCGGAUAAUCCUUUUCUACACAUGUAGGGAAGCUGAAAGUCGGUUUUUAGCUGACACUUACAGAUGGGCCCGCGGCGCAUUAGCUAGUUGGUGAGGUAACGGCUCACCAAGGCAACGAUGCGUAGCCGACCUGAGAGGGUGAUCGGCCACACUGGGACUGAGACACGGCCCAGACUCCUACGGGAGGCAGCAGUAGGGAAUCUUCCACAAUGGACGAAAGUCUGAUGGAGCAACGCCGCGUGAGCGAUGAAGGCCUUCGGGUCGUAAAGCUCUGUUGUUAGGGAAGAACAAGUGCUGGAGUAACUGCCGGCACCUUGACGGUACCUAACCAGAAAGCCACGGCUAACUACGUGCCAGCCGCCGCAGUAAGAC